rnacentral:rRNA from 1 species
GUGAGGAAUAUUGGUCAAUGGGCGAGAGCCUGAACCAGCCAAGUCGCGUGAAGGAAGACGGCCCUACGGGUUGUAAACUUCUUUUGCAAUGGAAUAAAAAGAGUUACGUGUAAUUCAUUGUAUGUACAUUGCGAAUAAGGAUCGGCUAAUUCCGUGCCAGCAGCCGCGGUAAUACGGAGGAUCCGAGCGUUAUCCGGAUUUAUUGGGUUUACAGGGUGCGUAGGCGGAUUGGAAAGUCAGCGGUGAAAGUUUGCAGCUUAACUGUAAAAUUGCCAUUGAAACUGUCAGUCUUGAGUGCAAAUGAGGUAGGCGGAAUGUGUUGUGUAGCGGUGAAAUGCAUAGAUAUAACACAGAACACCAAUUGCGAAGGCAGCUUACUGGGAUGCAACUGACGCUGAUGCACGAAAGCGUGGGGAUCAAACAGGAUUAGAAACCCCAGUAGUCC